AACGAACGCUGGCGGCAUGCCUAACACAUGCGAGUCGAACGAACCCUUCGGGGUUAGUGGCGCACGGGUGCGUAACGCGGGGGAAUCUGCCCUUUGCUUCGGAAUAACAGUUAGAAAUGACUGCUAAUACCGGAUGAUGUCUUCGGACCAAAGAUUUAUCGGCAAAGGAUGAGCCCGCGUAGGAUUAGGUAGUUGGUGGGGUAAAGGCCUACCAAGCCGUCGAUCCUUAGCUGGUCUGAGAGGAUGAUCAGCCACACUGGGACUGAGACACGGACCAGACUCCUACGGGAGGCAGCAGUGGGGAAUAUUGGACAAUGGACGCAAGUCUUAUCCAGCAAUGCCGCGUGAGUGAUGAAGGCCUUAGGGUUGUAAAGCUCUUUUACCAGGGAUGAUAAUGACAGUACCUGGAGAAUACGCUCCGGCUAACUCCGUGCCAGCAGCCGCAGUAAGAC
rnacentral:rRNA from 1 species